rnacentral:rRNA from 1 species
GAUCAUGGCUCAGAACGAACGCUGGCGGCAGGCCUAACACAUGCAAGUCGAGCGCACCCUUCGGGGCGAGCGGCGGACGGGUUAGUAACGCGUGGGAACGUACCCUUUUCUAUGGAAUAGCCUCGGGAAACUGAGAGUAAUACCAUAUAAGCCCUUCGGGGAAAGAUUAUCGGGAAGGAUCGGCCCGCGUUAGAUUAGAUAGUUGGUGGGGUAAUGGCCUACCAAGUCUACGAUCUAUAGCUGGUUUUAGAGGAUGAUCAGCAACACUGGGACUGAGACACGGCCCAGACUCCUACGGGAGGCAGCAGUGGGGAAUCUUAGACAAUGGGCGCAAGCCUGAUCUAGCCAUGCCGCGUGUGUGAUGAAGGUCUUAGGAUCGUAAAGCACUUUCGCCAGGGAUGAUAAUGACAGUACCUGGUAAAGAAACCCCGGCUAACUCCGUG